rnacentral:rRNA from 1 species
UAUAUAGGCGUUGGGGGGGAACGCGGGGAAGUGAAACAUCUCAGUACCCGUAGGAAGAGAAAACAAAAGUGAUUCCGUGAGUAGUGGCGAGCGAAAGCGGAGGAUGGCUAAACCGCGUGCAUGUGAUACCCGGCGGGGGUUGUGUGUGCGGUGUUGUGGGGCGUUUCUUCUCUCAUCCGCCGAUGAGGGCAGGAGUUAGAAACUGUUGGGUUAGUCGAAGUGGCCUGGGAUGGUCUGUCGUAGAGGGUGAGAGCCCCGUAGACGAA